ensembl:lincRNA
AGAAAGUCGUGUGAGGGUAGCACUCUCCUGGGCUGUUUUCCUUGACGUGAUGUCUAGGCCAUGAAAAAGGAACACACGUGGAAGCCUCAGGAGGGUGGAUCGUGGCUGGGUAAAGGGCCACUGUGGAGUUGGGCGAAUCGGACCUGCAGGCACUACAGGAGGCGGCAAGGUGAAGGGCCUCUCUCGUCGCUGUCUUAAGAGCGGGAAGUCUGAGGAGAGAGAGAGAGAGCAACUGCGCAGCUAGGCGAGGCGGUGCUGGCUAAGAGCAGGAGCUCAGUGGGGAACCGGUGGUGACUAUUGGUUCAGGGAGUAAGAACUACCGAUCUGUGAUAAGAGCACGUAUGGAGGAGAUGCACCAGAUGGCAAUGCUGCAAAAGAUCGAGCCAAUGGCCACCAAUUCAGCAGCCAGGUACUGGGAGCUGCCUUUUGGUUUUUUGUGGGGGUUUUUUUUGGCAUGCCUAAGUGUUUGGCACCUGCGUAACGUGGCUUUGAGUUACUGGCAUAGCAGAAGUCUUUUCUUUCUAGGUAGACAGGCACCUACUUGAGGUGGCAGGGAUCAUCCUCAAUUUCCUGGUGCCCUUUCAGUGUCUAACAUUGACAAAGAUCUGCUGGAUAAAUAAUCAUCUGAGUUUUCAGUUUUGGUGUUUUAGUCACAAAGACUCAUGAAUUCUCUCAGCUAUAAGUAGUUAUAUUCUAAUUAGAAUGGGAAGAUGACUCCUAGGAUUUCUUCCCUUGCUGGAGUCUCGGUCCAAACUCAGUAGUGAAUAAGGAAUAAAACCUUGUCUCUGGUCAGCAAAGCAUUUCUUUUCCCUUCUGAACAGAGGAUGAUGGCACGUGGAGACAGAAGGAUGGUGGGAAAGUGCGGCUAACAUUUUAUAUUGGCCUUUUUUUUUUUUUGAAUCAUUAAUCAAACUUGAGACCUCGUGCUUGCCAGACAAGUACCAUGCCGCUGAGCUCUAUCCCCAGCCCUGUAUUGGGCUUUGCUUUCUUUGUGGUUUUCAUUCAGUUCUGGGGAUGGAACCCAGGGCCAUGUGCAUGCUAAGCACAUGCUCUGCUAUUCAGCUACAGCUCUAGCCUGGGCUUUGCCAUUAAUACAUUGUUUCCUCAGCUGUGCUCCCUAUCCCUGCUGACUCUCUUGCCUAUUCUACGUCUUAAUCCUUUUUUUGUGAAUAACCUGAUUAAAAUUAAACUUAUGACCUUUAGAAUAACAGCACAGUACUUUUCCAUUCUUAGAAGGAAACAAAAAGAGCUGAAGUCGUAUUAUGACUUAAAGAUUAUCGCAGUACUUACAGAUAAUUUAAUGCUUGUAAUGUAAAAAGUGAUGGAUCUUCAAUAGUUUUCAGAGGAUUAUGGUUGAGAAUUCUGAAAAAUGCAAUGGGAUAAAAAUUAUCUGUAUUUUCAAUAUGCAUGGAAUUACAUGAAAAGUUGUUCUCUCUUUUGGUAUGAAGUGUAUUCGUAGGUUAAAAAAAAUCAAUUUCUGUCAUUACCUAUGAAUAAACCUUAGACUGCAGAAAGCACU